rnacentral:lncRNA from 1 species
CAACAAUGUUAAAGAGUAUGGUGAUUCUUCAUGGAAACAACUUAAUCAUUACACUCUGAGUCACUUAUGAUAAAAACAGGGCUUGAGGUAUUAAUUCAAAGUACAUGUUUCAUUGUGGAAUGGUAAUUACACUGUAGUAACAUACUGACAUUUCCAAGACAAGAAAGGUUGACUUAUUGCAGCUGUCUUUUGUGUCAUUCCUCUCUCAAUCACUGCCAAAAAUAUAUUGUACCCAUGGGGAUUAAACAUCCCCAAAUAAGAAACUCUAAAUAUAGGCAAUAUAGUAACAUCUGUAAAACAUAUUUAAAGCCAACAUUUAACAUUGACUGAAUAACCCUUAUGUGAUUAGAACAUUCUGUGGUUCAUGACACAGUCCGUCAGUCACACUUUCAGUGAAACACUAGCAUAACUACAUGUUCAAACAGUAAGUAGUGGGCACCUUCCUCUCCCAUCUGGCUUCCAGAAAACCUGCCGUUUCUCAGACAUCAGCAGGCCCAGUCAUGGCUUGGUUUGCAUGCUCCAGCAGGAAGAGAGUGGAAGGCUUGGGGACCCUUCCAGUCCCCUAAAGCAACGCUGUCUUUUACACCCCCAAAUUCCAAGGGCCCCUCCUCACUCCAUCGGUAAUGUCCCAGAAGCACAUGCACAUUCCUUCCAUUUAAAAUCAGUAACCAGUGAGUAUUUUAGUUCAAUUUGUGUUAACAUUAUUCAAUAUUACUGGUCCUGAGAUACAGUAUGACUGCACAUUUGUGGAUAGGCUUCAAUGUUCUUUCUUACAUGUUCCUGCCACAGACAAAUAAUUGUCAGCUUUUCCAGCUCUUCAAAAGCCUUCAGCAACACAUCUGUUUCCAUUCAACUAGUCUCUGUCAGUUACUCUGACCUUAUACAUGUUAUUUGAUAAGUAAUUUGGCUUAGGCAAGUCGUACAAAAGCAAACUGUUUUACAAAGGUUCUAAUUUAGAGUAAAUCUAUAUCCUUCCUAAGACUGGGCAACAAAAUACUGUUUUUGUAUAAAAAUGAUUGUUCUUUGGCUGACUUCAUAAACUCCCUGAUCCUUAAUCAAACUAAUGGGUGUUUGUUACAUUUCAGCAGCGUUAGUAAUGAUUUAUAGUUCAACUGCAGUGAUUUUCCCAGCCAAGCACAGUAAGAAGUCUGCUGGUUACCUUUCACCUACUUAGCCUCCGGUGCAGACCAGAGAGGGUUAACUCCUUUUCUUUGUGGUCUUGCCCCAGGUCAUGAAUCGCCUACGUGCUCCCCGUGCUCUCCGUGCUUCCCAGCACGGGUGUUACAUCUGAAUGUUGGGAAUUGCCUUAACUUGGGCAUUUUCUAUGCAUGAACUUUCCCCUAAUUCUCACACUGCUCCUACCUCACAGCAAGUCUAACAGAGGAGCACCUCAGGCCAAAUCAUACAGCACGUUCCUCCUGACGUCCAACACAGUGCCAGUGACUUCACACAACCGCAACCGGCUUUCAUUUAUCCCAGCCAUACAAUUAGGCUGGCUCAAAUAGCUUUUUCUCCGAUUGUGUUUUCUCUGUACUGGCUUCAAUACAAAUCUAGACUUGAAAUGAUAUUCAGUUUAUUAAGAAGUUCAGUCAGGUACAUAAUUAUUGGCAAAACCUUUACAAAGGCCCCAGUACCAGUGGAAGCAAAGUAGCCCCAUAACAUCAAAGAUCCACCACCAUAUUUUACCAUAUGAGGUAUGCUGCAUAUGCUUCUGUUUUUCAACGCCAAACCCUCCACUGGUGUCUGUGGCCAAAGAUAUCUAUUUUCAUGUCAUUUGACCACAGCACUGCCUGGAGUUUGAUAAGCGGCAUUGGCACUUGGAUUGGAACCGGUACUAUGGUCAGAUUACAUGAAAAUAUAUAUUUUUUAGCAUACAAUAUAGCUCAGUAUUUGUAUUAUACAUGUUUUUCUCAUCUUUAUCAAGGGUGCCAAUAAUUAUAGACCUGACUGGACUUCAUUUAACUAAGUACAAUCAGUUAUUUUUCUUUAUGGAGGACGCAAUACAGAAUGUUUAUUCACACACUGGACAUAUUUUGUCAAAUUAUUAGCUAUGCACAUUUAUAUGCAAUGUAACAUUUUGAGCUAUUAAAGCCUUGUGUAAAUGAAUGCGGCCCACUGAUUUAUCAAAAACCCUUUAUCAUGCUGAGACCAAGGUCUCUUUUACAGAAGAGCGCUGUAAUUAAAUAAAUAUUCACCAAAAUAUACACAUCAAUGCGCUACAAAAAGCAAAACAGAGCUACAAAACACAAUCAUAGAAAACAAACACAUUCUUCAGUAAAAAGGUCCUCAAUAAGUCAUAAUAAAUAUUUGGGCAUCUGGAUUGACAAAAAGUUAAUUUUCAUGUUAUGAAUUGUGCUAAAAAACUAGGUGCUAAAAAACUAAGGUGCUAAAAAACUAAAAGCAGAAUUAACUAACUCAGUGGAGAUCGAAGGGAUCUCCAGAGUUAAGCAUCCCUGACUCAGUGGAGAUCGAAGGGAUCUCCAGAGUUAUCCUUCCCUGACUCAGUGGAGAUCAAAGGGAUCUCCGGAGUUAUCCUUCCCUGACUCAGUGGAGAUCGAAGGGAUCUCCGGAGUUAUCCUUCCCUGACUCAGUGGAGAUCGAAGGGAUCUCCAGAGUCAUCCUUCCCUGACUCAGUGGAGAUCGAAGGGAUCUCCAGAGUCAGCCAUCCCUGACUCAGUGGAGAUUGAAGGGAUCUCCAGAGUCGUCCAUCCCUGACUCAGUGGAGAUCGAAGGGAUCUCCAGAGUCAGCCAUCCCUGACUCAGUGGAGAUCGAAGGGAUCUCCAGAGUUGUCCUUCCCUGACUCAGUGGAGAUCGAAGGGAUCUCCAGAGUUAUCUAUCCCUGACUCAGUGGAGAUUGAAGGGAUCUCCAGAGUCAUCCAUCCCUGACUCAGUGGAGAUCGAAGGGAUCUCCAGAGUCAUCCAUCCCUGACUCAGUGGAGAUCGAAGGGAUCUCCAGAGUCAUCCAUCCCUGACUCAGUGGAGAUCGAAGGGAUCUCCAGAGUCAUCCAUCCCUGACUCAGUGGAGAUCAAAGGGAUCUCCAGAGUUAUCCUUCCCUGACUCAGUGGAGAUCGAAGGGAUCUCCAGAGUCAGCCAUCCCUGACUCAGUGGAGAUCGAAGGGAUCUCCAGAGUUGUCCUUCCCUGACUCAGUGGAGAUCGAAGGGAUCUCCAGAGUUAUCUAUCCCUGACUCAGUGGAGAUUGAAGGGAUCUCCAGAGUUAAGCAUCCCUGACUCAGUGGAGAUCGAAGGGAUCUCCAGAGUUAUCCUUCCCUGACUCAGUGGAGAUCGAAGGUAUCUCCAGACUUCUCUUUCCCUGACUCAGUGGAGAUCGAAAGGAUCUCCAGAGUAGUCCUUCCCUGACUCAGUGGAGUUCGAAGGGAUCUCCAGAGUUAUCCUUCCCUGACUCAGUGGAGAUCGAAGGGAUCUCCAGAGUUAUCCUUCCCUGACUCAGUGGAGAUUGAAGGGAUCUCCAGAGUUAAACAUCCCUGACUCAGUGGAGAUUAAAGGGAUCUCCAGAGUCAUCCAUCCCUGACUCAGUGGAGAUCGAAGGGAUCUCCAGAGUCAUCCAUCCCUGACUCAGUGGAGAUCGAAGGGAUCUCCAGAGUCAUCCAUCCCUGACUCAGUGGAAAUCGAAGGGAUCUCCAGAGUCAUCCAUCCCUGACUCAGUGGAGAUCAAAGGGAUCUCCAGAGUUAUCCUUCCCUGACUCAGUGGAGAUCGAAGGGAUCUCCAGAGUCAGCCAUCCCUGACUCAGUGGAGAUCGAAGGGAUCUCCAGAGUUGUCCUUCCCUGACUCAGUGGAGAUCGAAGGGAUCUCCAGAGUUAUCUAUCCCUGACUCAGUGGAGAUUGAAGGGAUCUCCAGAGAUAAGCAUCCCUGACUCAGUGGAGAUCGAAGGGAUCUCCAGAGUUAAGCAUCCCUGACUCAGUGGAGAUCGAAGGGAUCUCCAGAGUUAAGCAUCCCUGACUCAGUGGAGAUCGAAGGGAUCUCCAGAGUUAUCCUUCCCUGACUCAGUGGAGAUCGAAGGGAUCUCCAGAGUCAGCCAACCCUGACUCAGUGGAGAUCGAAGGGAUCUCCAGAGUUGUCCUUCCCUGACUCAGUGGAGAUUGAAGGGAUCUCCAAAGUUAUCUAUCCCUGACUCAGUGGAGAUUGAAGGGAUCUCCAGAGUUAAGCAUCCCUGACUCAGUGGAGAUCGAAGGGAUCUCCAGAGUCAUCCAUCCCUGACUCAGUGGAGAUCGAAGGGAUCUCCAGAGUUAAGCAUCCCUGACUCAGUGGAGAUCGAAGGGAUCUCCAGAGUUAUCCUUCCCUGACUCAGUGGAGAUCGAAGGGAUCUCCAGAGUUAUCCUUCCCUGACUCAGUGGAGAUUGAAGGGAUCUCCAGAGAUAAGCAUCCCUGACUCAGUGGAGAUCGAAGGGAUCUCCAGAGUUAAGCAUCCCUGACUCAGUGGAGAUCGAAGGGAUCUCCAGAGUUAUCCUUCCCUGACUCAGUGGAGAUCGAAGGGAUCUCCAGAGUCAGCCAACCCUGACUCAGUGGAGAUCGAAGGGAUCUCCAGAGUUGUCCUUC